rnacentral:rRNA from 1 species
GUACGGGGGGGCAAGCGUUGUUCGGAAUUACUGGGCGUAAAGGGCUCGUAGGCGGCCAACUAAGUCGGACGUGAAAUCCCUCGGCUUAACCGGGGAACUGCGUCCGAUACUGGAUGGCUUGAGUUCGGGAGAGGGAUGCGGAAUUCCAGGUGUAGCGGUGAAAUGCGUAGAUAUCUGGAGGAACACCGGUGGCGAAGGCGGCAUCCUGGACCGACACUGACGCUGAGGAGCGAAAGCCAGGGGAGCAAACAGG